rnacentral:lncRNA from 1 species
CUUGAACCUUCCCGCUGCUGUCACCCAGGCAGUAGCCUCUUUGGCGUCUGGUGGCUGGAGGCCUCCCGUGGUCUGGAGGGACCACUUAAGCCCACCUACUCCCGCCUCCACCUGCAGGGUCCUCCCCUCCCCCACCACUCACUGCCCCGCGCAGAGCGUAGAGAGCCACACUGCGCAUGCUCCUCAGGGGAGGGCUGCCUGCAGCGCGACGCGGGCGGGCGGGUGGUGGGGAUUCCAUUCAAGGGACACCUCGGUAGCAGCCACCUGGCCACGACAGCGUCCGCGUCCCAGACUCUGCCCGACUCCGGGCUCGUCCGAACUCGGCAUCCCUCCCUAGGGACGCUGCACCACGUACUCAGAGAAAAUUUCAUCCACACAUUUGCCCCCUUGGACUAACUCGAAGAGUUCUACAACCUGUCAGCUGAGAACUGAAGAGCAGCCCUGAGGCGUGAACCCAGAAAUUCCACAGACACUCCAGGUUGAUCACGUCGAGUCAGGUGUUGGGACCCAGAUCCGACAGUGACUUUUCACUAAGAGAAAUUUCCUAAGAGCCGGGGAGCUGGCCGAGAUCCUCUGUCGUGGGUUUAGAUCUCGUGGAACUGAGGCCAGCAGAUCUCUUGGAAAGCAAAGUAUUGGACAACGAUGACUUGGCUUCAGGAAACAGUGUCACUGACUCUGACUUGUCAAAGGUGGAACCCGUUUUGAAGCAUUUAAAGGAAUGAACGUCAGACAGUAUGUCACCGAGACGGCUGCUGCCAAAGCAGUUUCUGUUUAGCCACCUCCCCCCUCCCCCUCACUGACCAUGGCAUGACCAUGUCUCAGAGACAAGGCAGGCAAGCGGGCCUGGGGCUCCAGACAAGGUGCUUCUCACGUACCAUGAUGUGAUGGAAUUCUCCAGAAGAGAACUCUCUGUUCUUCAUUGUCAAAUGCCUGCGGGCUCUGGCAAUUCAGCUGGGAAGUUACUGCAGGGAAGACAAAUGACACUGUCCAUGGCCCCAAGCCAGUGGGGGCACCAGCCCCUCAGCCCCGACCUCGAGGGCAGAGGAGGCCCCAGGUUUGCACAGUGACAACCUCAUACGUGGGAUUUCCAGCCAUCCGAGGUGUGGCAGGGAGACCAGGCCAUUCCCCAAGUGGGGCUCCCAGGGAGGAGACGGCAGCGGCCAAGACGACUUCGGAGGACACACUAAACAGGCCUGACCUUCCCGGGGGGAACAUCGUCUUAUUCCUGUAGCAAUUGUCUUGCCAUCCUACUUGGCCUGGGAGAGAGUCUCAGCUUUGUGCUAAUCCAUCUUUAACACCUUUGCCAUCUACGAAGCUCCCUUUUUGACAGAAAGCAGGCUGCAGGCUUCGAUCAGCCCGCAGCCUACAGCAUCCAGCUAGAAUCUUGUUUGGCAAGUGAGUCAUGGCUUUCCAUUGUCUUCCACUUAGCUAUUUUUAAAUUUUUUUAAGUUUAAAAGGGAGUCCAUCAGAUAAGGGAAAAACUAACAAAAUUCCAAUAAAACACAGAAUUUAGUUAAUAAUGAUGUAUCA